GUGUCAGCAGCCGCGGUAAUACGUAGGAGGCGAGCGUUGUCCGGAAUUACUGGGUGUAAAGCGCGUGUAGGCGGUGAGUUAAGUCUGUUGUGAAAGCGCCCGGCUCAACCGGGCAGAGUCAAUGGAAACUAGCGCACUGGAGGUCGGUAGAGGCGAGUGGAAUUCCCGGUGUAGUGGUGAAAUGCGUAGAGAUCGGGAGGAACACCAGUGGCGAAGGCGGCUCGCUGGGCCGGACCUGACGCUGAGACGCGAAGGCGUGGGGAGCGAACGGGAUUAGAAACCCUUGUAGUCC
rnacentral:rRNA from 1 species